AUGGAUGGAGCUAGUACAACUGACUCAAUAACAUCAACAGUAGCUAUGGAUGGAGCUAGUACAACCAACUCAACAACAACAACAGUAGCUGUGGAUGGAGCUAGUCCAACUAACUCAACAACAGUAGCUGUGGAUGUAGCUAGUCCAACUGACUCAACAAUAUCAACAGUAGCUGUGGAUGGAGCUAGUCCAACUGACUCAACAACAGUAGCUGUGGAUGUAGCUAGUCCAACUGACUCAACAAUAUCAACAGUAGCUGUGGAUGGAGCUAGUCCAACUAACUCAAUAACAACAACAGUAGCUGUGGAUGGAGCUAGUCCAACUAACUCAAUAACAACAACAGUAGCUGUGGAUGGAGCUAGUCCAACUAACUCAAUAACAGUAGCUGUGGAUGGAGCUAGUCCAACUAACUCAAUAACAUCAACAGUAGCUAUGGAUGGAGCUAGUCCAACUAACUCAAUAACAUCAACAGUAGCUAUGGAUGGAGCUAGUCCAGCUGACUCAAUAACAGUAGCUGUGGAUGUAGCUAGUCCAACUGACUCAAUAACAACAACAGUAGCUGUGGAUGUAGCUAGUCCAACUGACUCAAUAACAACAACAGUAGCUGUGGAUGUAGCUAGUCCAACUGACUCAAUAACAACAACAGUAGCUGUGGAUGUAGCUAGUCCAACUGACUCAAUAACAACAACAGUAGCUAUGGAUGGAGCUAGUCCAACUGACUCAACAAUAUCAACAGUAGCUGUGGAUGGAGCUAGUCCAACUGACUCAAUAACAACAACAGUAGCUAUGGAUGGAGCUAGUACAACUGACUCAAUAACAUCAACAGUAGCAACAGUAGCUAUGGAUGUAGCUAGUCCAACUGACUCAAUAACAACAACAGUAGCUGUGGAUGGAGCUAGUACAACUAACUCAACAUCAACAGUAGCUAUGGAUGGAGCUAGUACAACUAACUCAACAACAACAACAGUAGCUGUGGAUGGAGCUAGUACAACUAACUCAACAACAUCAACAGUAGCUGUGGAUGGAGCUAGUACAACUAACUCAACAACAUCAACAGUAGCUAUGGAUGGAGCUAGUACAACUAACUCAACAUCAACAGUAGCUAUGGAUGGAGCUAGUACAACUAACUCAACAUCAACAGUAGCUAUGGAGGGAGCUAGUACAACUAACUCAAUAACAACAACAUCAACAGUAGCUAUGGAUGGAGCUAGUACAACUAACUCAACAUCAACAGUAGCUAUGGAUGGAGCUAGUACAACUAACUCAACAUCAACAGUAGCUAUGGAGGGAGCUAGUCCAACUGACUCAACAACAUCAACAGUAGCUAUGGAUGGAGCUAGUACAACUAACUCAACAUCAACAGUAGCUAUGGAUGGAGCUAGUCAUCAGCUGGUCGCUCACUGCAUGGAGGAGCAGAAUCCAUCCAUCCAGACUCACUCUGCUGGUCUGUCCAGUCCCUGA
rnacentral:lncRNA from 1 species